rnacentral:rRNA from 1 species
CAGCGCCACGGUAAUACGUAGGUGGCAAGCGUUAUCCGGAAUUAUUGGGCGUAAAGCGCGCGUAGGCGGUUUUUUAAGUCUGAUGUGAAAGCCCACGGCUCAACCGUGGAGGGUCAUUGGAAACUGGAAAACUUGAGUGCAGAAGAGGAAAGUGGAAUUCCAUGUGUAGCGGUGAAAUGCGCAGAGAUAUGGAGGAACACCAGUGGCGAAGGCGACUUUCUGGUCUGUAACUGACGCUGAUGUGCGAAAGCGUGGGGAUCAAACAGGAUUAGAUACCCCCGUAGUCCCUGUCUCUUAUACC